AGCCUGUCUUUAAUUUGCCUGUAUGCAUGGUACCCCUACAGUAGUGUGAGAGAGGCAACAGAUCAUUUAUAUAAAUUAGAAUCAGUGGGGGGCUGAGUACUGAGCCCAGGAGAAUACCCUCUAGGCAAGUGGAAAUUUUAGGGACUAAGGACUUAAUCUUAGCUGCUUGGCUUCUUUCAUCAAGCAUUUUGCCAGACAGCACUAAAAAGCAGGAAAGGAUGACAAAGGAUGGAAGGCAAUUGAAGGAAAACCUCUGUCUCUCACAGGAGCCAAGAAAUCCAGAAGAAAAUUAAGACAGCAGAAGCAGAACUUCAGUGAGGGUGGCUUGAGACUAGAGAGGAGCUGGUCACAGACAUUCAGAAGCUGGGAAUUCUGUAAAUUCCCAAUUGUCUGGGAAUCUCAUCUGAUUCUUAGAAAGAUGAUGGGAAUUGCCUAAGUGUUAGGGUUGACUAGACAAACAUUCUUCUGUUUCUGUAAUAUAUGGGACUUGAUCUUCAAUUUGGAAGGUGAGAGAGCAGCACACAAUCCCUGCCAGUCUAUUGUGGUCAAGUCAAAGGAGGUUCAGAGAGUCAGAAGCAAAAGAAUUGAAAACAACGUGUAAUUUUGGGUGCAUAAAGAUGCUUUUGAAUAACUUCCCAAAC
rnacentral:lncRNA from 1 species